GCAGUCGAGCGGAACGAGUUGUCUGAACCUUCGGGGAACGAUAACGGCGUCGAGCGGCGGACGGGUGAGUAAUGCCUGGGAAAUUGCCCUGAUGUGGGGGAUAACCAUUGGAAACGAUGGCUAAUACCGCAUAAUAGCUUCGGCUCAAAGAGGGGGACCUUCGGGCCUCUCGCGUCAGGAUAUGCCCAGGUGGGAUUAGCUAGUUGGUGAGGUAAGGGCUCACCAAGGCGACGAUCCCUAGCUGGUCUGAGAGGAUGAUCAGCCACACUGGAACUGAGACACGGUCCAGACUCCUACGGGAGGCAGCAGUGGGGAAUAUUGCACAAUGGGCGCAAGCCUGAUGCAGCCAUGCCGCGUGUAUGAAGAAGGCCUUCGGGUUGUAAAGUACUUUCAGCAGUGAGGAAGGUGGUGUACUUAAUACGUGCAUCAUUUGACGUUAGCUGCAGAAGAAGCACCGGCUAACUCCGUGCCAGCAGCCGCGGUAAUACGGAGGGUGCGAGCGUUAAUCGGAAUUACUGGGCGUAAAGCGCAUGCAGGUGGUUUGUUAAGUCAGAUGUGAAAGCCCGGGGCUCAACCUCGGAAUUGCAUUUGAAACUGGCAGACUAGAGUACUGUAGAGGGGGGUAGAAUUUCAGUGUAGCGGUGAAAUGCGUAGAGAUCUGAAGGAAUACCGGUGGCGAAGGCGGCCCCCUGGACAGAUACUGACACUCAGAUGCGAAAGCGUGGGGAGCAAAC
rnacentral:rRNA from 1 species